rnacentral:rRNA from 1 species
GAUGAACGCUGGCGGCGUGCCUAAUACAUGCAAGUCGAGCGAACGGACGAGAAGCUGGUUUCUCUGAGGUUAGCGGCGAACGGGUGAGUAACACGUGGAAAACCUACCUUUAAGACUGGGAUAAUUUCGGAAAACGGGAGCUAUAACCGGAUAAAAUUUUGAACGGCAUGGUUCAAAAUGGAAAGACGGUCUUGCUGCCACUUUUAGAUGGUUCCGCGCUGCAUUAGCUAGUUGGUAAGGUAACGGCUUACCAAGGCAACGAUGCAUAGCCGACCUGAGAGGGUGAUCGGCCACACUGGAACUGAGACACGGUCCAGACUCCUACGGGAGGCAGCAGUAGGGAAUCUUCCGCAAUGGGCGAAAGCCUGACGGAGCAACGCCGCGUGAGUGAUGAAGGUCUUCGGAUCGUAAAACUCUGUUAUUAGGGAAGAACAUAUGUGUAAGUAACUGUGCACAUCUUGACGGUACCUAAUCAGAAAGCCACGGCUAACUACGUG